rnacentral:rRNA from 1 species
GACAGAGGUGCCGAGCGUUAGGCGGAAUCACUGGGCUUAAAGCGUGUGUAGGCGGGUCGUUAAGUACCUUGUGAAAUCCCACGGCUUAACCGUGGAACUGCUCGGUAUACUGGCGAUCUUGAGCCACUUAGGGGUCAGCGGAACAAAUGGUGGAGCGGUGAAAUGCGUAGAUAUCAGGAGGAACACCGGUGGCGAAGGCGGGUCUCUGGGCCGAUAUUGACGCUGAGGAGCGAAAGCGUGGGGAGCGAACAGG